AUGUGCUCCAGAAUGUUAUGGGUUCGUCCCUUAAUGGACCAUGCUACACCUUUUCACCAAGUUUAAUGGAAAUUGGGCCUGUAGGUUUUGCGUGAUCCUGCACACAGAUGAAGGGACAGAACCAGAACUGAAAACAUCUCUGGGAGAGGUCUCUUCUGCACAAGAACCACUCGCCGAUUUCAGAGCGCUGAGAACAUGGAGGGACCUCCACAAUCAGGCACCCCCUUCAAAAAAAAGGAGGAGACAGAAAAAAAGAAGGGGGGGGAAAAAGCCACAAUCAUCUCGGUGAGGGGAGGAGAAUUAUGGGAUGCCUCCCCUCCUUUUGUGUGGCAGGCGUCUGG